AGAUGAGUGUCGGAAGCUGGAAGAGGAGUUGCAUCUUCAAAAAUCCAAAGAAGACAGGCAAAGGGCUUUGUUGCAGUUGCAGUGGAAAGUGAUGAGUGACAAGCCCAAAGAGGACCAAGAAGUGAAUUCAAAACAGAGCAUCAAAGGAGGAGGCCAUCCUCAUCCUUCAAAAGGGUCUCUUAAUCCAUAUGCAGAGGAUCCCUAUGCAUUUGAUUAGAGGUAUUUACAAUCAGAUACUGAGUUAUUGUAAUCCUAAUUUUAUUUCCUUUGAAAUGUGAUGAUUCCUCCUACUAAAAGCCAUGAGUAAAGUACU